CAUGCAAGUCGAACGGCAGCACAGCAGUAGCAAUACUGUGGGUGGCGAGUGGUGGACGGGUGAGGAAUACAUCGGAAUCUACCUUGUCGUGGGGGAUAACGUAGGGAAACUUACGCUAAUACCGCAUACGACCUUCGGGUGAAAGUGGGGGACCGCAAGGCCUCACGCGAUUAGAUGAGCCGAUGUCGGAUUAGCUAGUUGGCGGGGUAAUGGCCCACCAAGGCGACGAUCCGUAGCUGGUCUGAGAGGAUGAUCAGCCACACUGGAACUGAGACACGGUCCAGACUCCUACGGGAGGCAGCAGUGGGGAAUAUUGGACAAUGGGCGCAAGCCUGAUCCAGCCAUACCGCGUGGGUGAAGAAGGCCUUCGGGUUGUAAAGCCCUUUUGUUGGGAAAGAAAUCCUAUCGAUUAAUACUCGGUGGGGAUGACGGUACCCAAAGAAUAAGCACCGGCUAACUUCGUGCCAGCAGCCGCGGUAAUACGAAGGGUGCAAGCGUUACUCGGAAUUACUGGGCGUAAAGCGUGCGUAGGUGGUUGUUUAAGUCUGUUGUGAAAGCCCUGGGCUCAACCUGGGAAUUGCAGUGGAUACUGGGCGACUAGAGUGUGGUAGAGGAUAGUGGAAUUUUCCGGUGUAGCAGUGAAAUGCGUAGAGAUCGGAAAGGAACAUCUGUGGCGAAGGCGACUAUCUGGGCCNAACACUGACACUG
rnacentral:rRNA from 1 species